GAGACAUUCUCAGAAUGGCAUCCUGGUAAUCUACACAGAGGAUGCUUGGAUGGAGACUCUUGGCCAUUGCUGGGAUGCUUCUUGAGGGAGAGGUUCCCCAAUGUGCCUCUUCUGAGCCCCAACUUCUCCCCAAGAUCAGUUACGAUCUUCUCAUUCUGGAAGCAUUUCCUGAUUCCUUCAUUUGUCAGCCUCGUGUCUUCUUCCAUCUCCCUCAGAAGAACUUGUGCCUCAAAGAAUCUCUUCCCGUGUUACUUUGCCCCAGUAGCACGAGCUUCAUCCAUGCAUUCUGGAUGCCCAUUUCACGUCUACAUGGACGCGUGUGAAAGCAUUUUGGAAGUGAUGUCUAUGGAAGUGACUCCCACAUUUCAUAACGGCAAAGCUUGCUUGUCCUCACCAAGUGAGAAACGGGUAAAUCGAAAGGAAACAUGUUGGGGAGCCACUUCCUGGAAAGAAGAAGGGAAGACUUCUUGGACGUCGUUCCGAACAUCAGCCCUUCACUUUGGGUGACGACCAAUAUAGAGAUCUGGGGAACCUCCUUCUGGAGCUGCAUGAGGGACUUUGCUUCUGAGUUCAGAGCAUAUGGAGAUAUUCUGUGACUGCUUCCUGCCUACGUCCUGAGUGGUAAAGAAAAGCCAUUUGAUUAGCAGCCUUACUACAAAACUGAAGAAAUACACUAAAGACACUAAAAAGUGAAAUAUCUAUUUUCCCUUUGGGGAAGCAAAGUAAAAUCAUAUAAACGACAA